GAUCCUGGCUCAAGAACGAACGCUGGCGGCAUGCCUAACACAUGCAAGUCGAACGAAGUCUUCGGACUUAGUGGCGCACGGGUGCGUAACGCGUGGGAAUCUGCCCUUGGGUGCGGAAUAACUUCUCGAAAGGGAUGCUAAUACCGCAUAAUGUCGUAAGACCAAAGAUUUAUCGCCCAAGGAUGAGCCCGCGUAAGAUUAGCUAGUUGGUGGGGUAAAAGCCUACCAAGGCGACGAUCUUUAGCUGGUCUGAGAGGAUGAUCAGCCACACUGGGACUGAGACACGGCCCAGACUCCUACGGGAGGCAGCAGUGGGGAAUAUUGGACAAUGGGCGAAAGCCUGAUCCAGCAAUGCCGCGUGAGUGAUGAAGGCCCUAGGGUUGUAAAGCUCUUUUACCAGGGAUGAUAAUGACAGUACCUGGAGAAUAAGCUCCGGCUAACUCCGUG
rnacentral:rRNA from 1 species